CCCUACGGGGGGCAGCAGUGGGGAAUAUUGGACAAUGGGGGCAACCCUGAUCCAGCAAUGCCGCGUGUGUGAAGAAGGCCUGCGGGUUGUAAAGCACUUUCGGUGGGGAAGAACGCGUCGGCAGCUAACACCUGUCGGCAGUGACGGUACCCAAAGAAGAAGCACCGGCUAACUCUGUGCCAGCAGCCGCGGUAAUACAGAGGGUGCAAGCGUUAAUCGGAAUUACUGGGCGUAAAGCGCACGUAGGUGGUUAUUUAAGUCGGAUGUGAAAUCCCCGGGCUUAACCUGGGAACUGCAUUCGAUACUGAAUGACUUGAGUCUGGUAGAGGGUGGUGGAAUUCCAGGUGUAGCGGUGAAAUGCGUAGAUAUCUGGAGGAACAUCAGUGGCGAAGGCGGCCACCUGGACUGAGACUGACACUGAGGUGCGAAAGCGUGGGGAGCAAACAGGCUUAGAUACCCUGGUAGA
rnacentral:rRNA from 1 species